rnacentral:lncRNA from 1 species
AAAAGAAAAGGAGAAAAUAAUAGAAAGAGAAAGGGAUAGAUGAACGGGAGAAAGGGAGGUGAGAAAGGGAAGUGCCGAAGCCAAGGGAGAAAGGAGUGGGGCGGCAGCUCCCAUGGGAAAGAAGAAGAUGAAGGAAAAAGGAUCCACCAUAAAGAAGAAGAAGCAAAAAGGUAUAAUCCCUCAAUUUUUUUUUUAUAUAAUUGAUGAUGGGGGUUUUUGAUUUGGUAGUUAAAACUCUAAGAUCUAUGUGUUUUCCAUGAAUUUAUGUAUGAAUCCACCCAUGAUGGGUGUUGAUUUGUUGGAAACUAAAAGGAAAAGAAAAUAAAUUUUUCUAGUUUUGAAAAUCGAAAUUUCUAUAUACUUUAAAAUUUCACCGUUUUAAAUCUAUGACUUUUUUUUGUGAUCCGUCAAAAAGGGAUGUUAGACAUAUGUGUUUAGUAGUUAACCCAAGUGGUAGUACUCAAAAAUGUUGAGUUUACAUGGGGUAGUGACUGAUUUGGUGAAAACAGUUCCGUUUUUUUUAUAACCAAAAAUGGGCAGAUUCGGGGCAGUCAGUAGCGAGGGCAACUUCGUCCAGUUUUUGUGUUUUAAAAAUUCUGGGCUUUUGAUAUGUUGUAGUACACUGUUUUAGCUUUCCAUAGACUCUGGAACGGACUAAUUCCGACUCCGGAUGAGGUAGUUAUGGCGUUCAGAAGGUGCGUAGCAAAACUGUUCCUCAAGUCCCGAACAGCCUCCUUGAUGUAAAUUUUUGGACUGUUGUGUUCUGAUUUUGGAAAAAUGUCGUGAGACAAAAGUUGUAGCCCUGGAAGUUAUCUUCGCGUGGGCUCAAAAAUCGCUCAAAAAUGUUUUAAAACGCGAGAGUUAUGGCUGUUUUAGCGAGGCUGGGUAAAAUAUUUCGAAAAUCAAAUUGUCCAAAAAUAGGAAAAAUGUAAUUUAUGACGUGAGACCCUUGAGAAUGGCUUAUGCCAGUUUGUAAUGGAUGUUUGGGUCGAGUAUAAAGUGUUAUGAUGUUUAUAGCAUUUUAAAAUGUUUAAACAAGUUUAUUAAUUUCGG